rnacentral:rRNA from 1 species
GGAGGGUGCGAGCGUUGUCCGGAAUCACUGGGCGUAAAGGGCGCGUAGGCGGCGCGACAAGGCGGCGGUGAAAGUCCGGGGCUCAACCCCGGAUCGGCCGUGGCGACUGUCGCGCUCGAGCACAGUAGAGGCGGGUGGAAUUCCGGGUGUAGCGGUGGAAUGCGUAGAGAUCCGGAAGAACACCGGUGGCGAAGGCGGCCCGCUGGGCUGUGGCUGACGCUGAGGCGCGACAGCGUGGGGAGCAAACAGGAUUAGAUACCCUGGUAGUCCACGCCGUAAACGAUGGGCACUAGGUGCCUGGGGGAGCGACCCCCUGGGUGCCGGCGCUAACGCAUUAAGUGCCCCGCCUGGGGAGUACGGCCGCAAGGCUG